UACGUAGGGUGCAAGCGUUGUCCGGAAUUAUUGGGCGUAAAGAGCUCGUAGGCGGUCUGUCGCGUCGAAUGUGAAAACCCGGGGCUCAACCCCGGGCCUGCAUUCGAUACGGGCAGACUAGAGUUCGGUAGGGGAGUCUGGAAUUCCUGGUGUAGCGGUGAAAUGCGCAGAUAUCAGGAGGAACACCGGUGGCGAAGGCGGGUCUCUGGGCAGUAACUGACGCUGAGGAGCGAAAGCGUGGGUAGCAAACAGG
rnacentral:rRNA from 1 species